AUGAGGCUGCAACUGCGCGCGCUCUGCCUGCUCUGCGCCGUCUUCUGCUGCGGAGCCCAAGUGUCCCAGAGCCCCGAGGCGCUGGUGACCCGUGAAGGGGACCACUCCACCAUGGCCUGUGCUUACUCCAGCGCUUUCCAGACCUUCCAGUGGUACCGGCAGGUCCCCUCGGGGGUGAUCACCCACCUCCUGUCCGUUCCCACCAACCGGAAUAUCACAGAGGGGCUGUUCACGGGGGAGAGCCGGGAAGACGGCAAGAAGGGCUCCCUGCACCUGUCGCAGACCCAGAUGGGGGACUCCGGCCGCUACUUCUGUGCGGUGCAGGAUGCACAGUGA